GGAGAAGAGGGGGAGAGACCUUCCUAAGGCCACGAGAGGGCAAGUGGCCUGCCUUUGUACUGGAAUUUCUGUGGGUGAAUUCUGAAGGAUUUUUGUAUCUUGGGAUUUGUAUCAAAAGUGAGGCAGCUGGAAAAGGAGUUGGAGCAAAAAUGUUCUGAUAGAAGUAGUUGUGCUCCUGAGAAUGUUAAAUCUUCUUAUAAUCAUCUAUGAAAUCAAAGACUGACUUCCUCUCGAGGUGGAAACUUGCUUCCAGCAGAUGGGGAUGGGAAACAGAGGACUGACUCUGAUUAAAAAAAGAUCACAAUUAAAUGUCAUUCUCAAGAAGAGAGACCUGCUGAAAUUGAAGAGAUUUAUGUGUGAGAUUUAAAGUGUCCAUGGUGUUGGAAGACUACACCAGAAGGAGUUUGUUUGGCAGCUCCGGGAUGGUGAGUAGAGUGAAGCGCAUGAGGUGCCUGGGAUGAGACUUCCUAUGCACACACAAACCAGAGAGCACCGGUGUCCCACAGGAGUGAAGCUUCCUUUGUGCUAACAGCUACAAUACAAACACGCGGUGACAGGCAGAUCCAGGCGCAAACCCAUCACAGUUUGUAUUUGAAAGACAGUUUGAAACAGUUCAACACCGUUCCUAUUAGCCUUCUGGAAAAGGAAAGCGUAAUGAAAAAACGCUUUCCACCUCAGCAACAUGGACAUCACUGUAAUGCCAAGGCUCUCUUGCAUCAGCUUAUAAGAAAUCUCUGCAUUCCCUUUUGCUGCACUUUCUUCCUCUAUGCCCUUACCACAGAUCAGACUGGAUCCAUCCACACACCAUCUACACAGCACACUUCAGAGUAGAUCAGGUUGAAGCUGACAAGAUCUAGGUGGCUUGAAGCGGAGACAGAUAUGGUAUGGGUUUUUUUUGAGAGUGGCCCUGAUGACUGAUUUUGUGAGCUGGGAAGUGUAGGCAUGGACUUCAUCCAGAUAUUUAGAAGCCUCGUGUUUGGAGACCAAAUAUGGAACUGUUGCUUUUGUCUGAGUACAAUCAUUGUUUCAGUUAAAAUGUGGCUACUAUUAAAAUAAU
rnacentral:lncRNA from 7 species